CAGUCGCCGCGGUAAUACGAGGGGGGCAAGCGUUAAUCGGAAUUACUGGGCGUAAAGCGUGCGUAGGCGGUUUGUUAAGUCUGCUGUGAAAUCCCCGGGCUCAACCUGGGAAUGGCAGUGGAUACUGGCAAGCUAGAGUGUGUCAGAGGAUGGUGGAAUUCCCGGUGUAGCGGUGAAAUGCGUAGAGAUCGGGAGGAACAUCAGUGGCGAAGGCGGCCAUCUGGGACAACACUGACGCUGAGGUACGAAAGCGUGGGGAGCAAACAGGAUUAGAUACCCCCGUAGUCCCUGUCUCUUAUAC
rnacentral:rRNA from 1 species